UAAACCUUUUGUAGUUAAUGUAUCAGUACUGUUACUACAACUGUUAUCACAGGUUUGGACCAUGAUGCAUACCCCCAACAUUGGUGUCCCAAGAAGCUGGACGCCGAUGGUAGGGGACAAAGGAGGUGGAACUGCCUGGAAAUUGAGCUAGUCUGCCUUAAUUACUGGUAUGUUAACCUAGCAUGAAUGCAUGCCAGCUUACCUGGCAAUCAAGCUUGCAGGAAGCACUGUCCUGGAGCCCUUGAGGGCCGUGCGAGUCCUACUCUCUCUACCUCUUGAAUUGGUCUGUGUAUAUUGUACUUUCUCCACUAAUUGUACAGUAAUAAAUAAAUAAACAUACUACACCAGUUCCCUGGUGUCCCCAAAAACGAGACCCAAGGGAACAAAGUCAGAACACGAAUAUCUGUACCAUCAAAACAGGGAUGGUUGGAAAGCAUGAUGAUGGAUUAUAUAAGUUUGCACCAUUUUAGAAAUAAUGUAUUGAAAGGUCUCCAUAGGUACAGCUCCCUACUGAUUAUGAAACCUCACUUUGUUAGUCUACCUCUGCCAUUGGGAGGCUUUAACUCUUGUGCAAGAUCCACAUGGUGUGUGCUGCCUGUAGUACUGAUCAUUGCAACUCCAUGUAGCUCAUCCAUAUGGAAGAGACAUUAUUAUUAUUAUUAUUAUUAUUAUGUUAUUUAUAUAGCGCCAUCAAAUUCCGCAGUGCUUUACAAUGGGUGGAUGAACAGACAUGUAGUUAUAACCAGACAAGUUGGACACACAGGAACAGAGGGGUUGAGGGCCCUGCUCAAUGAGCUUACAUGCUAGAGGGAGUGGGGUAAAAUGACACAAAAAGGUAAGGAUAGUAUUAGACUAGUGACAGUUGCAGAAGAGGAAUCAGUCAGGAGCUAUUAACAGUUUAAUUGAUACGCUUUUAUAAAGAAGUGGGUUUUGAAUGAUUUUUUGAAGGAGUCGAGACUGGGUGAGCAUCUAACGGAGGAAGGAAGCGAGUUCCACAGGAACGUUGCAGCCCUCGAGAAAUCUUGAAGGCGAGCAUCAGAGGUGGCAGUACGGACAGAAGAUAGAUGUAAGUCUUCAGCAGAUCGUAAGGGCCUAGACGGGACAUACUUGUGUAUAAGGGAGGAUAGAUAGGUGGGAGCAGCAUUAUGUAGCGAUUUGAAAGCAAGAACCAGAAUUUUAAAUUGAGCUCUAUAUUUUAUAGGAAGCCAAUGUAGGGAAUGACAGAAGGGUGAGGCAUGGGAGGUGCGGGCAGACAGGAAGAUGAGCCUCGCUGCCACAUUCAUUAUGGACUGUAACGGCGCAAGUUGGGAGCACGUAAGACCACUGAGAAGUGGAUUACAAUAGUCAAGGCGAGAAAGGACAGUGGAAUGGACCGACACCUUAGUCACAUCUGGCGUUAAAGGACCACUCUAGGCACCCAGACCACUUCAGCUUAAUGAAGUGGUCUGGGUGCCUGGUCCAGUUAGGGUUAACCCAUUUUUUCAUAAACAUAGCAGUUUCAGAGAAACUGCUAUGUUUAUGAAUGGGUUAAGCCUUCCCCUAUUUUCUCUAGUGGCUGUCUCAUUGACAGCCGCUAGAGGCGCUUGCGUGUUGAAAAUCACAGUGAGAGCACGGCAGCGUCCAUAGGAAAGCAUUAUGAAUGCUUUCCUAUGUGACCGGCUGAAUGCGCAUGCAGCCAGCCGACGGGGAGGAGAAGAGGAGGAUCGGAGGAGGAGAGCUCACCGCCCAGCGCUGGAAAAAGGUAAGUUUUAACCCCUUUCUGCCUUCCAGAGCUGGGCGGGAGGGGGACCCUGAGGGUGGCG